rnacentral:rRNA from 1 species
GAUGAACGCUGGCGGCGUGCCUAAUACAUGCAAGUCGAGCGAACAGACGAGGAGCUUGCUCCUCUGACGUUAGCGGCGGACGGGUGAGUAACACGUGGAUAACCUACCUAUAAGACUGGGAUAACUUCGGGAAACCGGAGCUAAUACCGGAUAAUAUCUUGAACCGCAUGGUUCAAUAGUGAAAGUCGGUUUUGCUGUCACUUCUAGAUGGAUCCGCGCCGCAUUAGCUGGUUGGUAAGGUAACGGCUUACCAAGGCAACGAUGCGUAACCGACCUGUGAGGGUGAUGCGCGCCAGAGGAGCUGAGCGGCGGCCCAGGGUCCGACGGAAGGCAGCGGUAGGGAAUGUACCGAGAAGGGCGGAAGCUUGACGGAGCAGCGCAGGGUGGGUGAUGAAGGUCUGCGGGUCGUAAAACGGUGUUAGUGGGGAAGAACGAAUGUGUAAGUAACGAUGCGCGUCUUGCCGGUACCUGAUCAGAAGGCCCCGGCUACCUAGGU